rnacentral:rRNA from 1 species
GAUGAACGCUGGCGGCGUGCCUAAUACAUGCAAGUCGAGCGAACGGACGAGAAGCUUGCUCCUCUGAUGUUAGCGGCGGUCGGGUGAGUAACACGUGGAUACCCUACCUAUAAGACGGGGAUAACUUCGGGAAACCGGCGCUAACACCGGGUAAUAUUUUGAACCGCAUGGUUCAAGAGUGAAAGACGGUCUUGCUGUCACUUAUAGAUGGAUCCGCGCUGCAUUAGCUAGUUGGUAAGGUAACGGCCUACCAAGGCAACGAUGCAUACCCGACCUGAGAGGAUGAUCGGCCACACUGGAACUGAGACCCGGUCCAGACUCCUACGGGAGGCAGCAGUAGGGAAUCGGCCGGAAAGGGCGAAAGCCUGACGGAGCAACGCCGCGUGAGUGAUGAAGGUCUUCGGAUCGUAAAACUCUGUUAUUAGGGAAGAACAUAUGUGUAAGUAACUGUGCACAUCUUGACGGUACCUAAUCAGAAAGCCACGGCUAACUACGUG